GAUGAACGCUGGCGGCGUGCCUAAUACAUGCAAGUCGAGCGAACAGAUGAGGAGCUUGCUCCUCUGACGUUAGCGGCGGACGGGUGAGUAACACGUGGAUAACCUACCUAUAAGACUGGGAUAACCUCGGGAAACCGGAGCUAAUACCGGAUAAUAUAUUGAACCGCAUGGUUCAAUAGUGAAAGACGGUUUUGCUGUCACUUAUAGAUGGAUCCGCGCCGCAUUAGCUAGUUGGUAAGGUAACGGCCUACCAAGGCAACGAGGCGUAGCCGACCUGAGAGGGUGAUCGGCCACACGGGAACUGAGACACGGUCCAGACUCCUACGGGAGGCAGCAGUAGGGAAUCUUCCGCAAUGGGCGAAAGCCUGACGGAGCAACGCCGCGUGAGUGAUGAAGGUCUUCGGAUCGUAAAACUCUGUUAUGAGGGAAGAACAAAUGUGUAAGUAACUAUGCACGUCUUGACGGUACCUAAUCAGAAAGCCACGGCUAACUACGUG
rnacentral:rRNA from 1 species